GAUUUAUUUGAAAUAUGUUUUAUUCAUAUUUAUAUGUGAGUGGAUUUCGUUUUUAUUGUAACUAUUUCGGCGAGAUUUAUUGAUUGUACUACGGGAGAUCGGGCAAAGAUUUUUUUCCAAAUGAUUCGAAAUUGGUCAAUUAAUAUAAUCGAACAGUAAUAAUUGUGUCUCACAUAGAGAGGGGGGAGGUUCCGGUAUUUGAUACGUAAAAUGUGUAUCGCAUUGGGGUAAUCGGGGUUUGAAUGUAGACGGUUGGUGAAUCAAGAUGAUUUUUGCAAUAUGCUUGGGGAUCAACCCCACAUUGAGAUAAGGACAGGAAUAAGACAAUACAUUAAUCCUCUAUGCGUAGUACACGCUGCAAAUAUAUUUAAAAAUAGAACAUCCAAAACCAUAAAUAAUGUAGAGAAAAGUCCCUUUACAUUGACAAAACUUGAUAUUGAAAGUGUAAAGAAAAAUCUAGAUAAUUUCGUUAUGGUUCGACGACUAACACAUUUUACUAUGCCAGAUAAUUAUGACGUUCCAAAUUUGAAUUACGAAAAUAAAACAGAAAUUUCAAAUUCAAAUAAAGUGACUGGUCAUAAAAAUAAUCAAAUUAAAAAAAUAAAGCAUUUCGAAUAUGAUGACACUGGCAUAAACGACACCCUGAGAUUUAAAAAUAGAAUACAACGCAUUCCAGACCAUAACACCUAUUUUGAUAAAUACAGCAUCACCAAAGAAUCUAUGGAAACAUCAGAAAACUCCCAAAAUGUGCAACUAUAUGAAGUUUUAACUAAGCAAACGGAAUUAAUUAGAAAAUUUGCUAAAAUAUUAGAAUUUGACGAGUAUUUAAGACAGUCAAAACACGAUUUCGAAGAUUUACUCAAAGAUAUAGAAGAGAAAAGAAAUAUAACAAUUUUAGAGAGUGACGGAAAUAAUACUACAGAGAGUGUGAAAGAGACAACAACUGUGAGAUUGCCAACUAUCAUGGCGGUGGUGGAUGAAACAGCUGUUAGAGAGGCGCUAAAAAGCGAUCCUUUUGUAAAAAGAAUUCUCAAAAUAGCGGCGAAGAGGAGAGAAGCUUAUGUUAAGGCAGCAAAAAAAUAUUUCCAACUGUAAAAUUUUGUAAGAGAGAAAAAAAACAGCUAACCAGAUUUCUAUUGAAGUUAAUGGGCUGACGUAGUUAACUCAUUCUAGUUAGUGUCAAUAGUCAUCAAAUUAUCGCCGGUUGGCGCGCUUAUUUAUACAUAUUAUAAAACAAAGUCCCUAAAAACUGUCUGUAUAUUAUCGAUUUCCUUAAAAUCUACUGAACGGAUUUAUAUGAAACUUGGUAUGGAGAUAGUUUAAGACCCUGGAAAGGCUAUAGACUAAUUUCUAUCCCGGUAAAUAUAUAGCAGGACUUUUAUUCCGGAAAACAACGCGGGCAAGUCCCGAGCAAAAGCUGUUUAUAAGUACACACCAGUGCGAUUUUGAUUCACACACCGAGUAUUCAAUAUAAAUUAGUUUGUUUUAUUAGCAUUUUUACUGUUUUCAGAUUUUUUCCUUUCCACGUGCUAUAAGACCUUGUUUCUUGCCAAAUAUGAUUCUAGAUCAACGGGAAGUACCCUAUAGGUUCAAAUCCUCCGCAAGAUGCGACAUAAACGGUCAUAUCUUUUGAUCGCGUUGACUUACAAGUAUUAUUUUUUACAGCUGAAAGAGACAGUAGCCCCGAAUAUUUGAUAUAAAUUUGAACUUGAUACCUCCACGCGUUCCUGAGAAAAACGGUCUUAACAAACAGACAACAGUGAUCUUUAGUGUUUGUUUUGAGGAACGGAACCCUAUAAAGGAAUGGCUUUUAAAAUUUAACAGAAAUGACAUAUUUCAAAACCUAGACAACUUAUAUAACGUAUAUUUUCAGUAAGGCUUAUUAUUGCGUCAGAUUCUGAACUGUUACCAAAUUGGGUAUAAACAUUGACGUAUAUUCUAUAGACACGAACCAAAGAGAAUACAAAUACUACGUAAGAAGAGACGGGACUUCCAUAUAUAAAAAUAAAUGUAAUAAACGUCAAAACAGGGCUAAGUUAGCAUAGCCAACAUAACGACAAUAACGAGCAUCAUAAAGUGCUACCAACAUAAGAUUAAAAAUGAAUUAGUGAUGUGCAGUUAGUAGGAAUAUCGAAAUCGAUAAUAAUCUGCAUAUCCAGAAUAUCCACCGGAAUGAAAAUAAAAUAUAUUUUAUUGUUAUCGCGAAACCGCCUAUGAAAAUACUUCUGUCAUUGGCGGUUUCACGACCGUCAUUCUAGUAUAAGGUAAAAUAAAGAAGUGAGUAAAA